rnacentral:rRNA from 1 species
CACUAUCGUUAACUGAAUACAUAGGUUAACGAGGCGAACCGGGGGAACUGAAACAUCUAAGUACCCCGAGGAAAAGAAAUCAACCGAGAUUCCCCCAGUAGCGGCGAGCGAACGGGGAGCAGCCCGGAGUCUGAAUCAGCUUGUGUGUUAGUGGAACGGUCUGGAAAGUCCGACGGUACAGGGUGAUAGUCCCGUACACGAAAACACACUUGCUGUGAACUCGAAGAGUAGGGCGGGACACGUGGUAUCCUGUCUGAAUAUGGGGGGACCAUCCUCCAAGGCUAAAUACUCCUGACUGACCGAUAGUGAACCAGUACCGUGAGGGAAAGGCGAAAAGAACCCCGGCGAGGGGAGUGAAAAAGAACCUGAAACCGUGUACGUACAAGCAGUGGGAGCACCUUCGGGUGUGACUGCGUACCUUUUGUAUAAUGGGUCAGCGACUUAUAUUCUGUAGCAAGGUUAACCGUAUAGGGGAGCCGAAGGGAAACCGAGUCUUAACUGGGCGUUAAGUUGCAGGGUAUAGACCCGAAACCCGGUGAUCUAGCCAUGGGCAGGUUGAAGGUUGGGUAACACUAACUGGAGGACCGAACCGACUAAUGUUGAAAAAUUAGCGGAUGACCUGUGGCUGGGGGUGAAAGGCCAAUCAAACCGGGAGAUAGCUGGUUCUCCCCGAAAGCUAUUUAGGUAGCGCCUCGUGAACUCAUCUUCGGGGGUAGAGCACUGUUUCGGCUAGGGGGCCAUCCCGGCUUACCAACCCGAUGCAAACUACGAAUACCGAAGAAUGUUAUCACGGGAGACACACGGCGGGUGCUAACGUCCGUCGUGAA